rnacentral:ncRNA from 1 species
AUUGAGGGGGGCUGUCCUAGUACGAGAGGACCGGAGUGGACCAUCACUGGUGUUCGGGUUGUCAUGCCAAUGGCACUGCCCGGUAGCUAAAUGCGGAAGAGAUAAGUGCUGAAAGCAUCUAAGCACGAAACUUGCCCCGAGAUGAGUUCUCCCUGAGACUAUAAGUCUCCUGAAGGAACGUUGAAGACGACGACGUUGAUAGGUCGGGUGUGUAAGCGCAGCGAUGCGUUGAGCUAACCGAUACUAAUGAACCGUGAGGCUUAACCUU